rnacentral:rRNA from 1 species
GACCCGGCUAAGCGGUCUGGCCUAUGGUCAGCACUGUUUCGGUUGGGUCUUUCCUCUUGGGGAACCAAGGUGCUCUUAAUUGAGUGCCUUGGGGAUCCAAGGCGUUUACUGUGAAAAAAUUAGAGUGUUUAAAGCAGGCCUACGCUUGAAUACGUUAGCAUGGAAUAAUAGAAUAGGACUUUGGUUCUAUUUUGUUGGUUUCUAGGACCAAGGUA